AUGGGGGGGGCUUGCUUGAGGGGAACAGGGCAGGUUUUCGGGCAGCAUCCAUUUUCCACGAGUCUCUCCUCCUGCCUUGAGAACGGCCGUUGGCAACACAAUCACAAGAAGGAAAAUGGGCGUCUGGCAGAUUCCGGUGUUGGGAGAGACCCAGAGGACAUCGGGACCCCCAAGGACCAUCUCUGCAGCCAUUUACCAGGAGCGCCAUCUGCCACGUGGGGUGCCCGAGAGAAGGAGAGGUGCCAGUGUGCGUGGGGAGACAGAACAUGCCUUAAUCCAAAAUCUGCGCCCUCACCGGCCUCUGCGUCCGUUGUGAACGAACACCUGAAAUCGGGAGCUUGCCGACACCUGGCCCGGAACUGUGUGCCAGGUGGGGGUGGGGGGUCCAGAGCCCAUCGCCCCUCACCACCAGGCCACCAUGAUGGACGCAGAAGGCUCAGCCCAGCCCCUCGUAAGAGAAACUCCUUUCCUCCUCUCGGGUUCCGGGUCAGAAACUCUCUUCUGGUCAACGGUGAGCUGCUGCCCUUCACCCUCUGGCCAGCCUGGCUCAGGCCCGGGGCACUCCGGGGACUCCUUUGGGGAGACGGUCCUCCUCGCUGCCGGAUUAAUGUAGGAGUUUACGCCCACCCGGGGAGCCCAAUGGGAACGGCGUCUGCAUUCCCGGCUGCCUUGGAGGAAAGACCCAACGUUGGAAUGGUGUGGCGCCCCGAGAGACGGCGAGGGAGAGCUCACAGCCCCAGGCUUGCUUUCUGCACCUGCAAACCCAUCAUCCGAGGCUCAGAACUGUUCGGACCCUCCAGGGAACGAGCAAGCGCGCACACGCCUGCCGCUCCCCAAAGUGCAUCUCAUUGAAGGCUCUGUGCGCAUCUCUCCUUUGGUGGCCAUCCCCUGUGCAGAAUGGAUGCUCCUCUUGUGGCCCUGACCAGGAAUGCCUGUUGCCCUUCCGCGUCCUCAUCCAGUCCGCUCAGACAGGGAACCUAACCACUAACACAGUGACUUUGCUUUAAGACCUUCUCCUGGGUAUGCGGUGCUAUGAAGCCCCCGGAUGCGGCCCGUGUCCCGGGCUGAUGCCAUUACCCACUCUUUUACUUGCAAUUUGAGCCAUUUAAAGACCAAUAAACUUCCGUUUUCUAAAUCCUUGUGCUUCUCC
rnacentral:lncRNA from 1 species